rnacentral:rRNA from 1 species
GACGAACGCUGGCGGCGUGCUUAACACAUGCAAGUCGAACGGGUCUGCCCUGUUUUUUGCGGGGUGGGUCAGUGGCGAACGGGUGAGUAACACGUGAGUAACCUGCCCCUCACUUCUGGAUAACCGCUUGAAAGGGUGGCUAAUACGGGGUGUUCUGGCUGUGCCGCAUGGUGUGGCUGGGAAAGAUUCACUUUUGUGGUGUUUUGGUGGGGGAUGGGCUCGCGGCCUAUCAGCUUGUUGGUGGGGUGAUGGCCUGCCAAGGCUUUGACGGGUAGCCGGCAUGAGAGGGUGGGCGGUCACACUGGGACUGAGAUACGGCCCAGACUCCUGCGGGAGGCAGCAGUGGGGGGUAUUGCACAAUGGGCGGAAGCAUGAUGCAGCGACGUCGCGUGAGGGAUGGAGGCCUUCGGGUUGUGAACCUCUUUCGCCGGUGAAGAAGGUCCUGCUCUUUGUGGUGGGGUUGACGGUAGCCGGGUUAUGAAGCGCCGGCUAACUACGUG